GGGGAAUUUUGGACAAUGGGCGCAAGCCUGAUCCAGCAAUGCCGCGUGCAGGAUGAAGGCCUUCGGGUUGUAAACUGCUUUUGUAUGGAACGAAAAGCCUCUCUCUAAUACAGGGGGGUGAUGACGGUACCGUAAGAAUAAGCACCGGCUAACUACGUGCCAGCAGCCGCGGUAAUACGUAGGGUGCAAGCGUUGUCCGGAAUUAUUGGGCGUAAAGCGCGCGCAGGUGGUUUCUUAAGUCUGAUGUGAAAGCCCACGGCUUAACCGUGGAGGGUAAUUGGAAACUGGGAGACUUGAGUGCAGAAGAGGAAAGUGGAAUUCCAAGUGUAGCGGUGAAAUGCGUAGAGAUUUGGAGGAACACCAGUGGCGAAGGCGACUUUCUGGUCUGCAACUGACGCUCAUGCACGAAAGCGUGGGGAGCAAACA
rnacentral:rRNA from 1 species